GUCUCCGUGGCGCAAUUGGUUAGCGCGUUCGACUGUUAGCUGACAGAUUGUGAUCGAGAGGUUGACAGUUCAAUCCUGUCCGGGGACG
rnacentral:tRNA from 1 species